GGUUAAGCGACUAAGCGUACACGGUGGAUGCCCUGGCAGUCAGAGGCGAUGAAGGACGUGCUAAUCUGCGAUAAGCGUCGGUNNNNNNNNNNNNNNNNNNNNNNNNNNNNNNNNNNNNNNNNNNNNNNNNNNNNNNNNNNNNNNNNNNNNNNNNNNNNNNNNNNNNNNNNNNNNNNNNNNNNNNGCGAUACAGGGUGACAGCCCCGUACACAAAAAUGCACAUACUGUGAGCUCGAUGAGUAGGGCGGGACACGUGGUAUCCUGUCUGAAUAUGGGGGGACCAUCCUCCAAGGCUAAAUACUCCUGACUGACCGAUAGUGAACCAGUACCGUGAGGGAAAGGCGAAAAGAACCCCGGCGAGGGGAGUGAAAAAGAACCUGAAACCGUGUACGUACAAGCAGUGGGAGCCUCUUAAUGGGGUGACUGCGUACCUUUUGUAUAAUGGGUCAGCGACUUAUAUUCUGUAGCAAGGUUAACCGAAUAGGGGAGCCGAAGGGAAACCGAGUCUUAACUGGGCGUUAAGUUGCAGGGUAUAGACCCGAAACCCGGUGAUCUAGCCAUGGGCAGGUUGAAGGUUGGGUAACACUAACUGGAGGACCGAACCGACUAAUGUUGAAAAAUUAGCGGAUGACUUGUGGCUGGGGGUGAAAGGCCAAUCAAACCGGGAGAUAGCUGGUUCUCCCCGAAAGCUAUUUAGGUAGCGCCUCGUGAAUUCAUCUCCGGGGGUAGAGCACUGUUUCGGCAAGGGGGUCAUCCCGACUUACCAACCCGAUGCAAACUGCGAAUACCGGAGAAUGUUAUCACGGGAGACACACGGCGGGUGCUAACGUCCGUCGUGAAGAGGGAAACAACCCAGACCGCCAGCUAAGGUCCCAAAGUCAUGGUUAAGUGGGAAACGAUGUGGGAAGGCCCAGACAGCCAGGAUGUUGGCUUAGAAGCAGCCAUCAUUUAAAGAAAGCGUAAUAGCUCACUGGUCGAGUCGGCCUGCGCGGAAGAUGUAACGGGGCUAAACCAUGCACCGAAGCUGCGGCAGCGACACUAUGUGUUGUUGGGUAGGGGAGCGUUCUGUAAGCCUGUGAAGGUGUACUGUGAGGUAUGCUGGAGGUAUCAGAAGUGCGAAUGCUGACAUAAGUAACGAUAAAGCGGGUGAAAAGCCCGCUCGCCGGAAGACCAAGGGUUCCUGUCCAACGUUAAUCGGGGCAGGGUGAGUCGACCCCUAAGGCGAGGCCGAAAGGCGUAGUCGAUGGGAAACAGGUUAAUAUUCCUGUACUUGGUGUUACUGCGAAGGGGGGACGGAGAAGGCUAUGUUGGCCGGGCGACGGUUGUCCCGGUUUAAGCGUGUAGGCUGGUUUUCCAGGCAAAUCCGGAAAAUCAAGGCUGAGGCGUGAUGACGAGGCACUACGGUGCUGAAGCAACAAAUGCCCUGCUUCCAGGAAAAGCCUCUAAGCAUCAGGUAACAUCAAAUCGUACCCCAAACCGACACAGGUGGUCAGGUAGAGAAUACCAAGGCGCUUGAGAGAACUCGGGUGAAGGAACUAGGCAAAAUGGUGCCGUAACUUCGGGAGAAGGCACGCUGAUAUGUAGGUGAAGUCCCUUGCGGAUGGAGCUGAAAUCAGUCGAAGAUACCAGCUGGCUGCAACUGUUUAUUAAAAACACAGCACUGUGCAAACACGAAAGUGGACGUAUACGGUGUGACGCCUGCCCGGUGCCGGAAGGUUAAUUGAUGGGGUUAGCGGUAACGCGAAGCUCUUGAUCGAAGCCCCGGUAAACGGCGGCCGUAACUAUAACGGUCCUAAGGUAGCGAAAUUCCUUGUCGGGUAAGUUCCGACCUGCACGAAUGGCGUAAUGAUGGCCAGGCUGUCUCCACCCGAGACUCAGUGAAAUUGAACUCGCUGUGAAGAUGCAGUGUACCCGCGGCAAGACGGAAAGACCCCGUGAACCUUUACUAUAGCUUGACACUGAACAUUGAGCCUUGAUGUGUAGGAUAGGUGGGAGGCUUUGAAGUGUGGACGCCAGUCUGCAUGGAGCCGGCCUUGAAAUACCACCCUUUAAUGUUUGAUGUUCUAACGUUGGCCCCUGAUCGGGGUUGCGGACAGUGUCUGGUGGGUAGUUUGACUGGGGCGGUCUCCUCCUAAAGAGUAACGGAGGAGCACGAAGGUUGGCUAAUCCUGGUCGGACAUCAGGAGGUUAGUGCAAUGGCAUAAGCCAGCUUGACUGCGAGCGUGACGGCGCGAGCAGGUGCGAAAGCAGGUCAUAGUGAUCCGGUGGUUCUGAAUGGAAGGGCCAUCGCUCAACGGAUAAAAGGUACUCCGGGGAUAACAGGCUGAUACCGCCCAAGAGUUCAUAUCGACGGCGGUGUUUGGCACCUCGAUGUCGGCUCAUCACAUCCUGGGGCUGAAGUAGGUCCCAAGGGUAUGGCUGUUCGCCAUUUAAAGUGGUACGCGAGCUGGGUUUAGAACGUCGUGAGACAGUUCGGUCCCUAUCUGCCGUGGGCGCUGGAGAACUGAGGGGGGCUGCUCCUAGUACGAGAGGACCGGAGUGGACGCAUCACUGGUGUUCGGGUUGUCAUGCCAAUGGCACUGCCCGGUAGCUAAAUGCGGAAGAGAUAAGUGCUGAAAGCAUCUAAGCACGAAACUUGCCCCGAGAUGAGUUUUCACUGACUCCUUGAGAGCACUGCAGGAACGUUGAAGACGACGACGUUGAUAGGCCUGGUGUGUAAUCGCAGCG
rnacentral:rRNA from 1 species